CAGCGCAGAGGAGGAAGCGGCGGCAGGAAGCCACACUCCCAGAUGAAGUGGGGCCGGAAGAGUCUGGGGAACGAGACCCGAGAGGUGGGAAAGGUUGACGUCACCGGUUUGGAGCUGUCAGGCAGAGAAUGAAGGAAAGGGGCCUAAGAAAGGCAGCAAGUCCUGGAUGGAAGGUGGAUUAUGACACCUGGGAAAGUAACAUCUGUGAUGGCUGGAGAGACUCAAACCACAAAUUUGAAUACAAGUCAUUCUAUCCAACUGCCUGAUGCCUUUGGAAUCUACCCCUUGGCCAAGACCACGACAAAAUAUGGUAAACAGAAUGUAAGGCUAUGAUGGGAUAUAUUUAUAGCCACAGGAAAAUAUAGGGCUCUGCCUUGUGGAGGAGAUGAAAUGGAAACGAAUGUGCUGUAUAAAUAAUCAUCACUGACUUAGUACAUUCAUAAAAUUUCCCAGAAGCAGGAAACUGGAAUGAGAAUAGACAAACCGGAAGCAAUGCACUGAGCAGUUGUUCUACCUCCUUUCUUUUCUAGAUGACAAAACUAAAGACCCCCACAGUGAAAAUGCUUAUCCCAAUUUAGCCAGCUAUUAAGUGGCAGAACCCAAACUGGAUCUAAUAUCUCAUGACUGUAUUCUUCCUAUUUUAUCUUGAUACUCCUCAGGAAAAUGAUUAGAAUAAAAUAAAAACAUAUUUCUUGCAAGUUCUGACAAUUAUUACCUAGCAAGAGGAUUUGAGGAAAUGGCAUUUUUGAGGAAAUGGAGAGAAAUUUGCCUUUAAUUCAUUUGUGUGUGAGGGAGAGUUCAUUUAAUUUCUUAGUUUAAUAUUAAGUUGUAGAAACAGUGUUUGAUAAACCAAAUCACAGGAGGAAAAAUAAGAAAAAGCUCCUUAGCAGUAGGCGUGAUGUUACAAUUUGUCAGCAGGAGGCGCUAGAGAGACAUUGCAGGAGGAAGGGCUUGCCUUCUGAGACUGGUGUGCACAGCUUCUCUACCUCUUGGGCAGUUUUGUAGCCGAGUGCCUCCAGUGAGACGCCUCCCAGUGAAUGUCUGUCUCUUGCACCCUAGAAGAAAGACUUCUGGUAAGUUCUGAAGGGCAGAUUUCAGGAAAGUUUCACUACCAGGGCAAAACAGUGGCUUUUCUGCUAUCCAGUGAGCCAAGGCUAUGCACCAUAGAGGAGGUGCCUAACAAUCAAGUGGACAAAAUGACACUGCAGGUGAAUGUAAGUCAGUCUCUUUCCCUAGUGCUUGCUCAACAGACUGUAAACAAAGUAACUACUGUGGCAGGGAUGGAGGCUAUGUAUCGGCUCAAAAACAGGGACCGCCCCCACUCACCAAAACUGACCUAGCGAACACCACCCUGUGUAUCUACUUUGUCAACAGCAGAGGCCAAUACUAAGCCCUUCAAAUGGUUCUCCACCAUUUGCAGAUUGAUUACAUUGGACCAUUUUAUUCACAGAAGAAACAGAUUAAUCCUCAGUGGAAUAGGCAUAUAUUCUGAAUAUGCAUUCGCCUUUCCUGCCUGUUAUGCUUCAGCUAGCCCUACUAUCUAUGUACUUACGAAAUACCUUAGUCAUCUUCUUGGUAUUCUGCACAGCAUUGUUUCUCAUCAAGGAGCUCAUUUCACAGCAAAUGAAGGAGAGCAAUGAGUUCAUGUCUAGGAAGGAAUCAAUUGGUCUUACCACCCACAUACUCCAACAUCCAGAAGCAGCUGGCCUAACUGAAAGUUGGAAUGACUUACUGAAGACUCAGUUAUGGUGUCAGUUGGGAGAUAGCGCCCCAAAACAAUAGCAUUCUGUCUUACAGGGUAUCAUACAUGCUUGGAAUCUGAGAUCAUUAUAUGAUGCUGUUUCUUCAUAGCCAGAUUACAUGGAUCUGGGCAUCAAGGGGUAAAAGCGAGCAUGACUCCUCUCACUUUUAUACCCAAUAACCCAUUUGCAGAAUUUUUCUUCCUCUUUCAGAGGCUUUGAACUAUGCUGGUUUGGAAGUCAUAGUCCCCAGGGGAGAGAUUCUUCCACCAGCAGACACAAUGUUUCAAUUGAAUUGGACCAUUCAGGAAGGUGAAACUGCUUCCCAGACAUAUUAGACUUCUUAUACCAUUGGACCAACUGGAAAAUAAAAAGGAGUUAUUAUAGAAUAUUUAGUGGGACUAUGACUGAAUUCGAGGAGUAAUUAAUAUAACCAGUGAUGAAUACAAUGACUUUCAGGACUGUGCAUCUUUACAUUUUGAGGAAAUGGUGAGAAAUUUGCCUUUAAAAUAGAUUGUUGUAUUUUAUUACAGAAGAAAAUUAGAGUUGCUUUGUUGAUGUACAGAUGUGCUCAAAGAUGUUAAGAAGGUUGCACAUGUAAGUUGAGUAGUCAGAGUCCUAUUCUCAUUUGAAUCUUUGCUUUUGCUCAAGCUAUUCCAUGAGGGAACCUUCAAAAAGUUCACGGAAAAUGUGUAUUAUGAAAAACUAUGCAUGGAUUUCAAAUUUUUUGCAAAUAAAUUCAUACUAACUUGAUAUGACACGUCUGAAUAGAACCUAGUUUGAGGCACUAAGAAGGAUAAGAUAUCAAUUUGAAGAGAUCCUCUGUUGGAGCAACAUGAAUUCUGCUAAAAUUGAAGCAAGAACAAACAUUGAAUUUAUGGUGAUGCUUGCAUGAAAGAACGGUGAAAUCAUUGACGCUUUACAAAAAGUUUGUGAGGACAAUGUCCCCAAAUAAAUCAGAAGUUUACAAAUGGAUCAAUCACUUUAAGAAGGACAAGAUGAUAUUGAAGAUGAAGCCUGCAGUGGCAGACCAUCCACAUCAAUUUGCAAGGGAAAAAAUAAUCUUGUUUAUGCCCUAGUUGAAAAGGACUGACAAUUAACAGUACAAACAGUAGUCAACACCAUAGAUGUCUCAAGUGGUUCAGCUUACACAAUUCUGACGAAAAAAAUAAAGUUGAGCAAACUUUCUACUCUAUGAGUGCCAAAACCAUUGCGCCCAGAUCCACUGCAGACAAGAGCAGAGCUUUCAGUGGAAAUUUUAAACAAAUAAGAUAUAGAUCCAGUAGCAUUUCCUUGAAGAAUUGUAACAGGAGAUGAAACAUGGCUUUACUAGUAUGAUUCUGAAGACAAAGUACCAUCAAAACAAUGGCUACCAAGACGUAGAAGUGGUCCAGUCAAAGCAAAAGUGGACUGGUUAAGAGCAAAGGUUGUGACAACAGUUUUCUGGAAUGCUCAAGGAAUUUUGCUUGUUGACUUUCUGAAGGGUCAAAGAAUGAUAACACUGCUUAUUAUGAGGGUGGUUUGAGACAGUUAGCCAAAACUUUAGCAGAAAAACACCCAGAAAUCUUCACCAGAGUUCUUCACAAUGACAAUGUUGUUACUCAUUCCUCUCAUUAAAUAAGGACAGUUUUGCAAAGGUUUCAAUGGGAAAUCAUUAGACUUCAUCCAUCUUCCAGUCCCGAUUGGGCUCAUUCUGACUUUUUAUUUUCUAACCUAAAAAAUAUCUGUGAAAGGCACCCAUUUUUUUUCCUUCAGUUAAUAAUGUAAAAAAGACUGCAUUGACAUGGUUAAAUAUCCAGGACCCUCAGUU